rnacentral:rRNA from 1 species
CUGGCUCAGAUUGAACGCUGGCGGCAUGCCUUACACAUGCAAGUCGAACGGCAGCGCGGGGCAACCUGGCGGCGAGUGGCGAACGGGUGAGUAAUAUAUCGGAACGUACCCUGGAGUGGGGGAUAACGUAGCGAAAGUUACGCUAAUACCGCAUACGAUCUAAGGAUGAAAGUGGGG